GCUCAUUUUGGUGGUUUUAAUUCUGCACUUUUGGAAGCUGGGAAGUCUGUGUGGGUUAUGAAUGUGGUGCCAACAACUGGACCUAACUACCUACCCUUGAUUCUUGACAGGGGCUUUGUUGGUGUAUUACAUGACUGGUGUGAAGCAUUCCCAACAUACCCAAGAACUUAUGAUUUAGUGCAUGCAGCUGGACUUCUAUCCCUUGAAUCUGGUCAGCAGCGUAGGUGCACCAUGCUGGACAUAUUCACUGAGGUUGAUCGAGUACUUCGCCCAGAGGGUUGGGUGAUAAUACAUGACGCGGCUCCACUCAUUGAAUUAGCUAGAGCUCUAACAACACGGCUAAAGUGGGAUGCACGAGUUGUAGACAUAGAAAGCAACAGUGACGAGAGGAUCCUUAUCUGCCAGAAACCUUUCUUCAAGAGGCAAGCAAGCUGAUUAUGAGUUUCUGAAAAAGGAGACCGAGAAGUUAGAUCAUACUAUUGGUAUUGGUUUUGCAAUGUUAUUAACGAUUAUAAAGCUCCAUCAUAGAAUGGAGGAAUCAAAAAUUUUGAACAGAAAGAAGAAAGCAGAAAACAGAGAAGAGGAAUCAAACGAUCUUUGGUGGAUCCAACCACAAAUCCUUUGAAGCCGUAAGGUUUACAUAGGGCCAUGUAAAAAUUAUUCAGUUGAGGUGCCAAGCUAACGACAAGUAUAGAAUCACAUUUAAUUUAAUUAUCCAUUUUCCAUGCAUUGUCAAAUUACAACUACACAACCACAUGAGUAAGAUUGUGAUUUGUGAAGAUGAUUGCAGAAUAAGCACAUUGAUGUAUUAUAUAAAUGCUUGGCAGUUCUUUUAUGUGAGGGAAUAUUUUAUUUAUAAUUUCUUUUUUUUUUUUUUUUGAAAA
rnacentral:misc_RNA from 1 species